AACGAACGCUGGCGGCAGGCCUAACACAUGCAAGUCGAACGCUCUAGCAAUAGAGAGUGGCAGACGGGUGAGUAACGCGUGGGAACGUACCUUUUGGUUCGGAACAACACAGGGAAACUUGUGCUAAUACCGGAUAAGCCCUUACGGGGAAAGAUUUAUCGCCGAAAGAUCGGCCCGCGUCUGAUUAGCUAGUUGGUGAGGUAAUGGCUCACCAAGGCGACGAUCAGUAGCUGGUCUGAGAGGAUGAUCAGCCACACUGGGACUGAGACACGGACCAGACUCCUACGGGAGGCAGCAGUAAGGAAUAUUGGACAAUGGAGGCAACUCUGAUCCAGCCAUGCCGCGUGAAGGAUUAAGGCCCUAUGGGUUGUAAACUUCUUUUGUAUGGGGCGAAAAAGGGAGUUUAUCCUCGACUGACGGUACCAUAAGAAUAAGCACCGGCUAACUCCGUG
rnacentral:rRNA from 1 species